GGGGAUGCUAGGUUUCGACAGGGAAUGGUGGCUGCGAGGAUUGCAAGCCGAGGUGCCACUAGUCUUCUCGUUAAACAAGUGGCAAGCCAGUAACUGGCAACAAUCAGUACGCUCUAGCAGCCUAAUUUAGGUCGCUACGUUCACCUCGACCCAACUCCGGCGGGUCGGGAGUGGGCGCUACAAAGUCGGAGUGCGAUAGGUAAUUUGCUGGUGUAGCCUGUCAAAGACCAAUCAGCUGGCGUGAGGCGACUUUGUCGGCGAAGGCGCAGCACGCGACAUCAAAACGCCGGCUAAGCUUGUAGCAAAUCCCGGGUCGCUUUCUUUGGACGGGGGUUCGAUUCCCCCCAUCUCCACCA
rnacentral:tmRNA from 1 species